CGUAAAGACGCAUGCAGGCGGCCUCGUUAAGUCAGAUCGUGAAAGACCCGGGGCUUAACCUCGGAAUUGCAUUUGAAACUGGCAGGCUAGAGUCUUGUAGAGGGGGGUAGGAAUUUCAGGUGUAGCGGUGAAAUAGCGUAGAGAUCUGAACGGAAUACCAGUGGCGAAGGCGGCCCCCUCGGACAAAGACUGACGCUCAGACUGCGAAAGCGUGGGGAGCCAAACAGGAUUAGAUACCCCUGGUAG
rnacentral:rRNA from 1 species